GCAAGUGCCUAAAGACGAGCUCGCGCCUGAUUAGCUAGUUGGUGGGGUAAAGGCCUACCAAGGCGACGAUCAGUAGCUGGUUUGAGAGAAUGAUCAGCCACACUGGAACUGAGACACGGUCCAGACUCCUGCGGGAGGCAGCAGUGGGGAAUUUUCCGCAAUGGGCGAAAGCCUGACGGAGCAAUACCGCGUGAGGGAUUAAGGCCUGUGGGUUGUAAACCUCUUUUCUCAAGGAAGAAUCAAUGACGGUACUUGAGGAAUAAGCAUCGACUAACUCCGUGCCAGCAGCCGCGGUAAUACGGGGGAUGCAAGCGUUAUGCGGAAUUAUUGGGCGUAAAGCGUCUGUAGGUUGUUUAAUAAGUCUGUUGUUAAAGACUGGGGCUUAACCCCAGGAAAGCAAUGGAAACUGUUAGGCUAGAGUGUGGUAGAGGUAGAGGGAAUUCCUAGUGUAGCGGUGAAAUGCGUAGAUAUUAGGAAGAACACCGGUGGCGAAAGCGCUCUGCUGGGCCAUAACUGACACUCAGAGACGAAAGCUAGGGUAGCAAAUGGGAUUAGAUACCCCAGUAGUCCUAGCCGUAAACGAUGGAUACUAGAUGUUGCGUAACUUGAUUAUGCAGUGUUUUAGCUAACGCGUUAAGUAUCCCGCCUGGGGAGUACACUCGCAAGGGUGAAACUCAAAGGAAUCGACGGGGGCCCGCACAAGCGGUGGAGCAUGUGGUUUAAUUUGAUGCAACGCGAAGAACCUUACCAAGGCUUGACAUGUCACGAAUCUCACUGAGAAGAGAGAGUGCCUUCGGGAACGUGAACACAGGUGGUGCAUGGCUGUCGUCAGCUCGUGUCGUGAGAUGUUGGGUUAAGUCCCGCAACGAGCGCAACCCUUGUCUUUAGUUACCAUCAUUCAGUUGGGGACUCUAGAGAGACUGCCGGUGACAAACCGGAGGAAGGUGAGGACGACGUCAAGUCAGCAUGCCCCUUAUGCCUUGGGCUACACACGUGCUACAAUGGCUAAGACAAAGAGCAGCAAGCUUGUGAAAGUUAGCAAAUCUCAUAAACUU
rnacentral:rRNA from 1 species